rnacentral:rRNA from 1 species
GAUGAACGCUGGCGGCGUGCCUAAUACAUGCAAGUCGAGCGAACAGACGAGGAGCUUGCUCCUCUGACGUUAGCGGCGGACGGGUGAGUAACACGUGGAUAACCUACCUAUAAGACUGGGAUAACUUCGGGAAACCGUGUCUAAUACCGGAUAAUAUAUUGAACCUCAUUGUUCAAUAGUUAAAUACGGUUGUGCGUUCACUUAUAGAUUGAUCCGCGCCUCAUUAACUAGUUGGUAAGGUAACGGGUUAACAAGGCAACGAUGCGUAGCCGACCUGAGAGGGUGAUCGGCCACCUUGGAAGUGAGGCACGGUCGCGACACCUACGGGAGGAAGCAGUAGGGAAUCUUACGCAAUGGGGGAAAGGCUGACGGAGCAAAGCCGGGUGAGUGAUGAAGGUCUUCGGAUCGUAAAACUCUGUUAUUAGGGAAGAACAAAUGUGUAAGUAACUAUGCACGUAUUGACGGUACCUAAUCAGAAAGCCACGGCUAACUCCGUG